rnacentral:rRNA from 1 species
GACGAACGCUGGCGGCGUGCCUAAUACAUGCAAGUAGGACGCAGUUGCGAACGGGUGAGUAACGCGUAGGUAACUACCUAUUAGAGGGGGAUAACUCUUGGAAACGAUAGCUAAUACCGCAUACUAGUAGAUGGACCUGCGUUGUAUUAGCUAGUAGGUAGGGUAAUGGCCUACCUAGGCAAAGAUACAUAGACGAACUGAGAGGGGGAUCCGCCACAAUGGGACUGAGACACGGGCCAGACCCCUACGGGAGGCAGCAGGAGGGAAUCGUCGGCAAUGGGGGGAACGCUGACCGAGCAACGCCGCGUGAGUGAAGAAGGUUUUCGGAUCGUAAAGCUCUGUUGUUAAGGAAGCGGUACUUAACCAGAAAGGGACGGCUAACUACGUGCCAGCCGCCGCGGUAAUUC